rnacentral:rRNA from 1 species
AUUGAACGCUGGCGGAAUGCUUUACACAUGCAAGUCGAGCGGCAGCGCGGGGGCAACCCUGGCGGCGAGCGGCGAACGGGUGAGUAACAUAUCGGAACGUACCCCGUCGUGGGGGAUAACACAGCGAAAGCUGUGCUAAUACCGCAUACGACCUGAGGGUGAAAGCGGGGGAUCGCAAGACCUCGCGCGAUGGGGAGCGGCCGAUAUCGGAUUAGCUUGUUGGUGAGGUAAAGGCCCACCAAGGCGACGAUCCGUAGCUGGUCUGAGAGGACGACCAGCCACACUGGAACUGAGACACGGUCCAGACUCCUACGGGAGGCAGCAGUGGGGAAUUUUGGACAAUGGGGGGCAACCCUGAUCCAGCCAUUCCGCGUGAGUGAAGAAGGGCCCUUCGGGGUUGUAAAGGUACGUCUUUCCUAGCAGGAAC